AUGAUGACGGUAAUGACGAUGCCAAAUUCGAUAUACUCAUAUGAGUAUGUUGAAAAUGACAAGGAGGAGUACUUCUUGCUCACAGUAAAGGAUGACAACCUCUUCCUCCGUACCGUGAUCGACCCAUCUGGCCAACAUAAGGGGAUGGUAUGGUUAGAGGACAAGCAAGACUGGAUGCUAUACUUUGUCGAGCCCACUGCAAAGUGCUCUGUCUAUUCCAUGUGCGGGGCUUUCAGUUGGUGCGCCGAUAACAUUGCCCCAUUAUGUAGCUGCCUUAGGGGCUUCAGCGCAAAAAGCCCAAUUGAAUGGAGCUCAGGAAUUUAUGCUGGAGGGUGCACCAGAAAUGUUGCAUUACCUUGCAGUAUCAGUGGUGUGAAUAGAUAUGAGGAGGAUAGAUUCUACGUGAUCAAUAACGUGAUGUUGCCUGAUGGGUCACAGAUUGUGCAAGCUGCAAGUGUAAGUGAUUGCGAGGUAGCAUGUCUUAAGAAAUGUGCUUGCUUGGCUUACUCAUACAACAACACCUGCUCUUUGUGGUACACCAAUAUGAUGAACCUCCAAGAAAAUCCUGAUAACACCGGGGAUAGUAUAUUCAUUCAACUUCCCGCUUCUGAGAUACCAGAUGCCAAAUCUUCGAGAGGGCGAACUAUAGGGGUUGUUGUUGGUGUCUCUGCACUUGCAUUGGGUGUAUCCUUUGUGGUUGUUUUGUGUAUUCUACGUAGGAGAAGAGGGAUCAAUGGUUCACAUAACAUUGACAUGAACCUAAUAGCCUUUAGGUACAAAGAUCUGCAACUAAUAACGAAGAACUUUUCAGAUAAGCUAGGUGUGGGAUCUUUCGGCUCAGUGUUCAAAGGAGCCCUUCAGAAUGGCACAAAUGUGGCGGUUAAGAAGCUUGAAGGUGUUCGUCAAGGCGAGAAGCAGUUCCGGGCAGAGAUGAGCACUCUUGGAACUAUUCACCAUGUGAACCUAAUUAAGUUGCUCGGGUUUUGCUCAGAGGGGGAGCACCGAAUGCUUGUUUACGAGUACAUGCCACAUGGAGCAUUGGACCAAUACCUAUUUAGGGUUGGUGGCAAUGAUGUUCUGCCUUGGAACACAAGAUACCAAAUAGCCAUUGGCAUUGCUAAAGGGUUAACUUACCUACAUGACAAGUGCAGGUAUUGCAUCAUCCAUUGUGACAUCAAGCCACAAAACAUAUUGUUGGAUGCCUCAUUUACGCCAAAAGUGUCAGAUUUUGGACUAGCGAAGCUACUAGGCCGGGACUUCAGCAGGGUCAUCACAACAAUGCGAGGAACCAUCGGCUAUUUGGCACCUGAGUGGAUAAGCGGCACCGCCAUCACAGUGAAAGCUGACGUGUUCAGCUACGGAAUGAUGCUCUUUGAGAUCAUCUCACAAAAAAGAAAUAUUGAGCAUGGGAAGAGAUGCGCGGACAAGUUCUUUCCGAUAUUAAUUGCAAAUAAUAUUCGGGAUGGUGACGUGCAUGCAUUGUUGGAUGCCAACUUGAGAAGCGAUGUCAACUUGGAGGAGCUUGAGAGGGCUUGCAUGGUUGCUUGUUGGUGCGUCCAAGAAGAUGAGUGCUCUAGGCCGACCAUGGGGGUAAUCGUACAGAUUUUGGAAGGCCUCAUCAAGGUUAAUAUGCCACCAAUUCCACGAUAUCUUCAGGUUCUUGCCGAAUCGGCAGACCAAUCAAUGCCCUCCUCAACCGAAUAA
rnacentral:rRNA from 1 species